rnacentral:rRNA from 1 species
AACGAACGCUGGCGGCAUGCCUAACACAUGCAAGUCGAACGAGACCUUCGGGUCUAGUGGCGCCCGGGUGCGUAACGCGUGGGAACCUGCCCUUAGGUUCGGAAUAACUCCCCGACAGGGGUGCUAAUACCGGAUAAUGUCUUCGGACCAAAGAUUUAUCGCCUUUGGAUGGGCCCGCGUUGGAUUAGCUAGUUGGUAGGGUAAAAGCCUACCAAGGCGACGAUCCAUAGCUGGUCUGAGAGGAUGAUCAGCCACACUGGGACUGAGACACGGCCCAGACUCCUACGGGAGGCAGCAGUGGGGAAUAUUGGACAGUGGGCGAAAGCCUGAUCCAGCAAUGCCGCGUGAGUGAUGAAGGCCUUAGGGUUGUAAAGCUCUUUUACCCGUGAUGAUAAUGACAGUACCGGGAGAAUAAGCGCCGGCUAACUCCGUG